AUAAGCUAUCCAUUUGGUGCCCAAAACUGCCUCAAAAUGCUCCAAAUUGCACUUUCUUGCCAACUUUAUCAUAUGGACCUACAAACACACGAAAAUAGCUUAAAACACUAUAAUAAACACAAACCAACUAUGAAAAUGCAAGAAAACAAGCCAACUAAGUCGCAUAAAUAUGCUCCUAUCACCAAACCGGAAAGAUUGGAGCUUGCGCUUGAAUGAUGCAUUGUGGGCGUAUCGUACAGCCUACAAAACACCAAUUGGAAUGUCCCCAUUUCGGCUAAUCUAUGGGAAACCAUGCCAUCUUCCGGUUGAAUUGGAGCACAAAGCACAUUGGGCCAUCAAAACUUUCAAUAUGGACAUUGAUGCCGCAGGACUCCAUAGAAAGCUUCAAUUGAAUGAGCUUGAGGAAGUUAGGAAUGAAGCUUACGAGAAUGCUCGCAUUUACAAGGAGAAAACAAAGGCAUUCCAUGACAAGAUGAUUCGUAGCAAGAAGUUCUCUAUCGGGCAGAAAGUGUUACUUUUCAAUUCUCGCCUUCGGUUGUUUCCAGGUAAGUUGCGUUCUAAGUGGAUUGGUCCUUUUAUUGUUACUAAUGUUUUUCCACAUGGUGCAGUUCAAAUUCAAAGUUUGAAGACGCAACAAGAAUUCAAAGUCAAUGGACAUCGUUUGAAGCCAUAUUUCACAACUUUUGAGGAGAAGGCCGUGGAGGAAGUCUCCCUCCAUGCCGUGGGCCUUAUUCCAGCUUGAUUGGAGGCAUCGUCCGGCUGGAAGACGUUAAAGCAAGCGGUUCGUGGGAGGCAACCCAUGCGAAUAAAGACGACCUAGGAAGCUCCGGCAUCACAACCAGAUUUGCGUUCCUAAACCCUACUCUUUAUUGCUUUUAUAUUGCCAUAUUUGUCAUGUUUGCUAGUUGUGUUAUUUGCUUGUUUUUUGUGUGAGUCUAUGUUUGAAACAUUGAGGACAAUGUUCGGUUUAAGUGUGGGGGGGGGGGGUAAACAAGUGUUUUUAUUGAAAAAAUCGUAGGAUUUUACCACCUAACAUUUCAACGGUUGUUUCAUUGUUUUUAAGUGUUUUUAGUGUGUUUUAACAUGAAAAUCCGAAAAUCCCAUAAAAAUUUGAAAAAUUGUUUUGAAAACCCAAAAAAGAGUCGUUUUUGUGUGUUUGUUUGUGUCUUAGAGUACCUUCCAACACAAUGAUGAGGAUUUGGUUUUUAAUUGCAUGACUGUUAAAGAGAGUUGUAAACAUGGAUGGAAGUUUGAUUUUCUCUUUUGUGUAUGCUUGGUCAUCGUUGUUGUUUAUGAAUUCACAUGUAAUCACAAAGAAAAAAUCAGUUUUUGUAACAUGCUUGAAGGAAGUAACUCAAACUAACGCUACAACCCUGUGAGACUUGAGCCUAUACAUUCUUUGGAGAGUUAAUAAUCUGUGAAUUUGUUGUUUUCUAAAGUCGUUGCAUGAUCUCAUCAUUCUUUGCUUGGUUGCUACUUAGAAGGCGUGUCAUCAUUAUAGAUCCAGUUAUUAGAACUCAUACCCAUUUCAUUCAAAGCAUAAAAUUGAUUAGCAUAACUAAUAAGAUGAAGUUGUUUAGUAGUUACCACCAGAGCCAAAAAGCCUUCAUACCAUGCAUUUGUUUUGUAGGUUCACCCUUUUGAGCCUUAGUUAGCCAUUUUCUUUGUUAGCCACAGUAUCCUUACCUAGCCUAGAUUAGGACUAUCCAUACCCUUGUUCUUAAAGGAUAAUAAAGCAUGACUUAGAGGGAAUUCCUUUUGAUCAACAUUGUGCAGAAAAAUAAGUGUGGGGGAAGGAAAAUUUUGUGUGCCAAAAGAAGUAGAAGGGCACGGGUUAGAAAAAGAAAAAAAAGAAAAGAGCAAAAUUCGUAGAAAAAGAAAAAAUGAAGAAAAAAAUGUGAAAAGAAUGAAGAAGAGUUGAAAAAUGUGUGAAAAGAAGCUCUAAAGUGUUGGUUGUUGAAGAAAGGGUCCAAAAAGCUUGAAUUUGGCCCUAAGUGUUGCAUGAGUUUCCCCUUGUGUUUCAAAAUUGAUUUUUACAUGCAAAAUUGAAUUCUAAGUGUCAAUUUCCUUACUUUGCUUAUUAUUCUUUAAGAAUGUUUGUUUAUUCUACCCUUUCUUUGUUAGCCAAUACCUUAGCCCCGUUACAACCCUUUGCUUCUAUCUUGAUUGUUAUGUUUUUCAAUAUGUGGAGUUUGGAAUUGGUAUGAGCAUAUGAUAUCCUUGGUUCUCGCAUCUAAGUAGUAGCUUUCCAUUCAUGAGAUCAUAUCUAAAUGCUUAUUAACUCCCGAAAAUGCUUUCUUUGUUAUACAUAUGUGAGCGUUCGUUUUCAUAUUUACAUCAAUCUUCUCACAUAUAACUAGUAUAGGGUGUGGAAUAGAAAAUCUGUGUGAAAAUUGAGUGCAUAUCUAGUAAGGAAUUGAGCAAAUUCUCUAAGGCAUGUUACUACAUUCAAAAUCAUGUUUUAAUUGGUUAAAUGUGAACUAGUACGUGAUGACUAUGAUUAAGUAUGUGCUUAAGUGUGACGAUGACUAAAAUCUGUGGGAAUAAUGAUUUUUAAUAUGUCAUGUGCAUUGGGAAUCCCUGAGGCAAACGUUGGAAGGUUUAGGUUAUGUUUUGAUACUUUGUUUCGUUUUUUUUUGUUUCUUCGUUUUGCUCGAGGACUAGCAAAAGCUAAGUGUGGGGGAAUUUGAUAGGAGCAUAUUUAUGCGCCUUAGUUAGUUAGUUCUUAUGCAUUUAUGUUGUGUUUUCUUAGUCAAGUUAGUCUUUUAAGCUAUUUUCAUGUGUUUUCAGGUUUUAAGGAAAAAGUAAGCAAAAAGAUGCAAUUUGGAGCAUUUUGGAGCAAAAUUGAGCUAGAAUGGAGCUCAUGCAUGUGGAGCACAAAGAAUGGACGAAUUUGAAGGAUUGAAGAGCUAGGAAUGUGUUUCAAAGUUGAAGACUUGAAGAUGCAAAGUUUCCUAAUUGAAGUGGGAAAGUGCUUAAUUGAAGAUGAAAUCCUAGUCAAACAUGGAUUCCUAGUUGAAGAAUGAUUCCUAAGUGAAGUUGGAUUCCUAGAAGAUUGAAGUUUCCUACUCAAACAAGGUUUCCUACUUGAAGAAGGGAAGUUAAAGCCAAAGAAUCAGCUCAAGUGAAGAAACCUCAUCCAAAACAUUAUCUAAACCCUAUCCUAUCCUAUCUUAUCCUAAUCCUAAUCCACCAAUAUUUCAGCUACUUGGGAGGAUUCCUAGCUAUAUUAGGAUGCUUAAAAUCAGAUUUCUAGAAAACCUAAUCCUUUCCUACAAAAAUGGCGCCUAGAACCUUUCUAGAAGACCUUUGCCUUGCAUUGCAAUUCAGCCACUUUCCCUCCACUUUGUGCCGUGAGUUUUUACCCAAUCCCUUUGGGAUUUUGGUUUCUAGAAGCCCUUAUCCCUUCCUAGAUAAGUGCCGCACCUUAUCCUCCCAUUCCCUUUGGAUUUCUGAUUUGGUUUCCUUCAAGGAUUGUGUUUUAUUUUCCUAUGCAACUUAGGCCUUUAAAUCCUUUUCCUUUGCUACCUAGGGGCUGUGAUUUUCAGCCUAUAUAUAUGUAGUGCCGCACCCUUUCAUUCUCACCACCCUCUACCAGAUUUUCACUACAUCAUUCACCUAAUCAUCCCUCUUGUGCCGUGAAUUUGCAAAGGAGAAGGAAGGAGACUCUUGGAGCCGUGCAUGCCAUUCAAGGAGCUUGGAUUGUUGGAGCGUUUCUAGGUGUUUUCUAUCUUUAUGUUAAUGUUUAGAUUUAUUUAUCUUUGUUUAUUUGCGAACAUGAGGAACUAAUUUCUUUAUAGUUAGAGGGGAAUUCAAAGCCAUGAUCAUAUGUUUUAUAUGACUUGAUUUCCUCCAGUUAUGAUUUCAUAAAUCGUGAAUGUGGUUUACUUAUCUAUUUGAUUGAUAACUUGUUCUUGUGUGUUAAUUAAGGAUGCAUACUUAGUUCGCAUGCAUGAAUUUGAUGCUAGAGUAUAAGGGAAUUUCACCUAAUCGUUACUAACUUACAUUCAUAAGUAGUAAAAGUCGCUAGUCACGAUUGUGUUAAGUAAAUCCUUGGCAAGAGUAACAUGCGUAUUUGUUGACCCUAGAAAUUACAAAGCCUACGUGGCGCGCAGGCCAAGUAUAUUCUAAGCUAACUACGUCCUUCGGUGAUUGCGGGCGUGCCAACUCGUCGGCCGGGGCUCGGCCGAGGAGUAAAUUUGAUGAUGCUGCGUUGGGUCGCGCUACUGACUUCUGCGUCUUGCGAUUGCGGCCGAGAAAGGAACACGUCUCGGCCUCUUGGGUUCUCGAGCCUGAAGACAAGGCUGCUAUUUCUUACAAAGUUCACGAACCGAAUUCGGCUUGCAAUGUGCCGAAUGUAAUAACUGUGACACCUCACCUCGCCGAGAAGGCUAAUGAGAUGACCUCGACCAACAAGGAUUCGAAAACCCUUCUCGACCGAGACUUGGAUAGGUAAUCGACCGUUCUCGCCGCAGUGCUGUUGAUGCCAACGGAAGAUACUGCGAGACCGACCGACUCUACGGUGACAGAGCUAUCUAUGCCGACUUAAGAUAUCACCGGUUGCUUCCACAGUGCUGUUGAUGCCAACGGAAGAUGUGUCAGCGAAAAAGGAAAAGAAAAAGAUCUCAAGUUGUGAGAGUUUGCGCAGGGCAAUUUUGUGUGUGUUGGAGGUCCCCUUGAAUGAUGCACAGCCUCCUCUAUUUAUAGCACUAGAUACCUUUGAAGUCGAGUCAAAACCCUACUCGAACUAGGUCUUCUUCUCCGGAUCAAACACCCACUCGACCAGUCCUAUGUUUACUAGGAUUGUGAGCCUAGUCCUCUAUUGAGCCGGAUUCACUUCCGGGUUAUUACCCUUGCCGAGACUACUUAUCGCGUUAGGACUCGACUAGUAAAUGUAAUAUGACCUAGCCGACCUAGGUUUAGGAGCCCACGUACUAAAUGAUCCAAGGCUCCCCUGUCGCCAGGCCUCCCGGGCCGAGAGUGGUUCUAUACUCGGCCCAACAUGUUAAUUUGAGCCCAAACACUCUUACUUGAAGAUAUAAUUUGCAUCAUAUCCAUCCCGUUUAAGAAUAUGUCAAGAUAAUUCAAAUUAAAAGAUAAUCAUGAUAAAAACCAUAAUAUUAUCUUUUAACAAAAAUAUUUCCACUUUUCCAUCCGACGGCUGAGAACUAUGUUUACUCUACGGUCUCGAUUACACGGGCCGAUGAUGUAAAUUUGGGUCCAAACAUUGCCCCCCAGUUUCCUUGAACUUCGGCUCGUAAGCCGAAUGAUUAAGGAAAUUAAGUAUCUCCAGCCUAAUCAGAUGUACUUUUUGACCGUCAUCCCUUGCUGCUGUUUACUCACGGCUCCUUUCGACCAAAGAACAACUCAUGGCCGAAGAUAAACAGUUAUGAACCAGGGUCGAGAAGAAUUGGAAUUGGGGUCGAGGAUAAAUUUGGCCGAGGUCGAGAAGAGUCUUUUCUUGGCAGCUCGGCCUGCCUACAUAUAUAUGCAUAUCAAAACCCAUUGUCAGCAAUCAUGACUAUAUACAUAUAUAUAUAUAUAUAUAUAUAUAUAACCUCAAAACAGCAACCAUGACUUAUUCGGCCAAACUUUGACCCUAGCAUCUUCCUGAUUAAAUGGUUUUGAAAACUUGUCCCCACACUUUAACCAUAGGCAUGGUACUAUUGAUAGCAGCGAAAAUAACUCUUCUCGGGUCGGCUUGUUUGUCGAGCUCGGCUAAAAACAAAAAUGACCAAAAUUUUUUGCCGAGCACACCACUUGUUGCCCCUCUUAUUUUCUUAAGUAUCGGUCAAGGGCCGAAUGGUUAAGAAAAUAAUUUAUUAUAUAUAUAAUUAUAUUUUUAGCAAACGAAAAGAAAAGUGGCCGAAACGUAGUCAGGAGGAGGCCAACGAUGCUUUAUUCCAAGCCAAGAUCUUUUUACAUCAAAAUUUUCACUUUGACAUUUUCCAAAACCGAAUAAAAGAUCAUCUCCCAAUAUUUCUGACUUGGUGAAAUAUUUUGCAUUUUCGGCCGCCGAAUGUGUGGAACAAGUAUUAUGCCCCCCAGGCAUAAUUUCGGCGUUUAAUUCAAACAACUUAGCCGAAUAGGAUUUCUCCAUAUCGACUUUAUCGCCAAUAAUCAUAUCAAUUGGCGUAGAUUCUUGGGCUAGGCCAAUAUCUCGGCCUCGUUCGUCAUUGGAGCACUCCUCUGACGAAUCAUUUUCUGAGUCGAUUUGUGGCUCAGAAACUUUAACUUUUUCUUCUAGGCCUACCACACUUCCAGUCUCGACCGAAAAAAUAGGUGGCCUUUGUUCUUCGGCCAAAUUAACAAUUUUCUUAGGCCGAUGUCUGAUUACGGCCGGAGCGAAAAAUUGCCCCCCGGCCUUUGAGCCUAACCAUUUUUCAAAUGGAAUUGAUCUGUAAUCAGAAACGUAAGGAAAAUUUUCUUCAUCUAGCCAGGCAUUAAAUCGAGCCCUGUCUUCAUUUACCCAUUGCCUUUGCAGGGUAACAAGAGCUUUUAUUCUCAACAUGCAAGCGAAUGACUUUUGCAUCUCUCCAUGGCCACGAAGAACUUUUUCCACUUCCAAAGAUCUUUUACAUUCCUCAUUGUGUUUUUCUCAAUUCCUCUAGGAGCUCGUACAAUCGGCUACGUUGAGCCAGAUUGGAAUCUUGAUAUAUCAUAUGAACUUCGUAGUAUUAGCACUGGGUCCCACUGGGCGUGCCAAAAUGUUGACCCUAGAAAUUACAAAGCCUACGUGGCGCGCAGGCCAAGUAUAUUCUAAGCUAACUACGUCCUUCGGUGAUUGCGGGCGUGCCAACUCGUCGGCCGGGGCUCGGCCGAGGAGUAAAUUUGAUGAUGCUGCGUUGGGUCGCGCUACUGACUUCUGCGUCUUGCGAUUGCGGCCGAGAAAGGAACACGUCUCGGCCUCUUGGGUUCUCGAGCCUGAAGACAAGGCUGCUAUUUCUUACAAAGUUCACGAACCGAAUUCGGCUUGCAAUGUGCCGAAUGUAAUAACUGUGACACCUCACCUCGCCGAGAAGGCUAAUGAGAUGACCUCGACCAACAAGGAUUCGA
rnacentral:lncRNA from 1 species